AGAGUUUGAUCCUGGCUCAGAUUGAACGCUGGCGGCAUGCCUUACACAUGCAAGUCGAACGGUAACGCGGGGCAACCUGGCGACGAGUGGCGAACGGGUGAGUAAUGCAUCGGAACGUGCCCAGUAGUGGGGGAUAGCCCGGCGAAAGCCGGAUUAAUACCGCAUACGACCUACGGGUGAAAGGGGGGGAUCGCAAGACCUCUCGCUAUUGGAGCGGCCGAUGUCAGAUUAGGUAGUUGGUGGGGUAAAGGCCUACCAAGCCGACGAUCUGUAGCUGGUCUGAGAGGACGACCAGCCACACUGGGACUGAGACACGGCCCAGACUCCUACGGGAGGCAGCAGUGGGGAAUUUUGGACAAUGGGCGCAAGCCUGAUCCAGCCAUGCCGCGUGCGGGAAGAAGGCCUUCGGGUUGUAAACCGCUUUUGUCAGGGAAGAAAUCUUCUGGGUUAAUACCUCGGGAGGAUGACGGUACCUGAAGAAUAAGCACCGGCUAACUACGUGCCAGCAGCCGCGGUAAUACGUAGGGUGCAAGCGUUAAUCGGAAUUACUGGGCGUAAGCGUGCGCAGGCGGUCUUGUAAGACAGAGGUGAAAUCCCCCGGGGCUCAACCUGGGAAACUGCCUUUGUGACUGCAAGGCUUGAGUACGGCAGAGGGGGAUGGAUUUCCGCGUGUAGCAGUGUAAUGCGUAGAUUUGCGGAGGAACACCGAUGGUUAAGGCAGUCCCCUGGGCCUGUACUGACGCUCAUGCACGAAAGUGUGGGGAGCAAACAGGAUUAGAUACCCUGGUAGUCCACGCCCAAAACGAUG
rnacentral:rRNA from 1 species